rnacentral:rRNA from 1 species
UACGUAGGGGGCGAGCGUUGUCCGGAGUUACUGGGCGUAAAGCGCUUGUAGGCGGUCCACCAAGUUUGGGGUGACAGUUGCCGACUUAAUCGGCAAAGUGCCUCAAAGACUGGCGGACUUGAGGGCCACAGAGGGACAUGGAACUCCAGGUGUAGUGGUGAAAUGCGUAGAUAUCUGGAGGAACACCUGUGGCGAAAGCGGCUCACUGGACCACAACUGACGCUGAGGCGCGAAAGCUAGGGGAGCAAACAGG